UACGUAGGGGGAAAGCGUUGUCCGGAUUUAUUGGGCGUAAAGCGCGCGUAGGUGGUUUGUUAAGUUGGAUGUGAAAGCCCCGGGGCUCAACCCCGGAACGGCCUUCAAAACUACCAGUCUAGAGGUCGAGAGAGGUGAGUGGAAUUCCGAGUGUAGAGGUGAAAUUCGUAGAUAUUCGGAGGAACACCAGUGGCGAAGGCGGCUCACUGGCUCGAUACUGACGCUGAGGUGCGAAAGCGUGGGGAGCAAACAGG
rnacentral:misc_RNA from 1 species